rnacentral:lncRNA from 1 species
CCAUAGCCUCCUCCAGACCUCAGGCUCCUCCCCAGUGGCCCAGCCCCUCAAGCCGCUCCUACCAGCUUGAGGUCAUCUGUGUCAGGAACGAAGCCGGUCAUCAUGGCUAUGUCCAGGAUGGACAUUGUGGCAUCCUGGUCUCCUAGGUACCUAGAUAGGGGCAGGGAGAAGCACGUUGAGUCCCAGCGUAGGGGCAGCCCUCAGGGUCUGUCCCUGAAUGAGAGGUUCUGACCAGAGAUCAAAGCUUUUGAUUCCUCUCCAGCACCUAAAUGGAUGUUCAAGUUUAGGAAACACUUCUCCAAGGGCAAAAGACGGAAAUGUAGUUUAAUGGUCAAGGUCAUGAGGGUUUCAGGCUCUGGAUCCAAGCGCACGGGUUGAAAUCCCAGCUUUCUAUAAAAUCUGAUGAGCUCUUCAGUCCCCUCUGUGCCUCAGUUCUUCUAUGAAAUACAAACAAGAAUAUGAGCAGUCCUCAUUUUGGAAAAGCCAGCUUCUAUGACUUCAUGAAAUAACACUGGCUCCCCAAUGAAAGAGUUCAAAUUUGAGCAUCAGUGUAGAUGCUAUGGCUUGGAUCUAAUAUGUCCUUAAACCUCAUAUGCUUAGGUGUUGGUCCCUGGUGUCCAAAAGGGAAGCCUCUGGGAAAUAACAGGAUCGUGAGGGCUCUAACUUCAUCAGUGGAUUAAUGGAUUAAUCCAGGGGCAUGGCUUUUACUAGUAUAUUUUGUCCCCAGCCCUUUCUUUGCUGGCUCUCUGCCAUCUCUAUGUUUCCAGGCCGCCAUGAGGUGAGCAGUUUUCCUCCGCCAUGCCCCUCUGCCAGGAUGGAAGCCCAAAGACCUGGACCAAGACAGAAAGAUGGAAAAGGAUAUCCCUGAGUCCUGAUCCAGAAAGACAUUAGAAUACAGAGAAUGAGAGAGAAGAGAAGAUCUCUUUAGCCUCCUGUAGCGCGAUGAGCACGAAGGCGGUGAGGGACACUUCAGCCUCCUGGGUGUUCCGGAAGCCGCCCUGGAGGGGAGCAGAAAGCACGUGAGUCACCACGUGUCUGUGCAUGGCAGUCAAGGUCCCUGCAGAAUCGGGGAUCUGGGCAGGGUAGGGGCUCCUUCUGGGGCUCUCCUUCCACCAGGAAGGUCAAACUUUUAUUCUAUUUUUUAUUUUUCUAUGUACUGAGGAUUGAAGCCUGGGCCUUCACACUGAGCUCCAUCCCCAGCCCUUUUAACUUUUUGUUUUGAGACAGGGUCUCGCUAAGUUACUAAAUUGCCCAGGCUGGGCUCAAAUCAAUG